rnacentral:lncRNA from 1 species
GGCCGAGAUGGCGCCGUUCGCGCCGAGGAACCGCUCGCUGCGCGUCCGCGUGCUGGGUGAGGUCCCCGGCUCCUCCUGCUCCUUAUCCCGAUUUUCCUGGGCCUUAUCUGGCUUUUCCGGGUCCUUAUCCAGCUCUUCCUGCUCCUUAUCCCGAUUUUCCUGGUCCUUAGCCGGCUUUUCCGGGUCCUUAUCCCGAUUUUCCUGGUCCUUAUCCGGCUCUUCCUGCUCCUUAUCCGGCUUUUCCGGGUCCUUAUCCAGCUCUUCCUGGUCAUUAUCCAGAUUUUCCUUGUCAUUAUCCGGCUUUUCCGGGUCCUUAUCUGGCUUUUCCUGGUCCUUAUCCGGCUCUUCCUGCUCCUUAUCCCGAUUUUCCCGGUCCUUAUCCGGCUUUUCCGGGUCCUUAUCUGGCUUUUCCUGGUCCUUAUCCGGCUCUUCCUGGUCAUUAUCCAGAUUUUCCUCGUCAUUAUCCGGCUUUUCCUGGUCCUUAUCCGGCUCUUCCUGGUCAUUAUCCCGAUCUUCCUGGUCCUUUUCCCACCUUUUCCUCAUCAUUAUUCAACUUUUCCUGGUAAUUAUCCCACUUUUCCCGGUCCUUAUCCCAGCUUUUCCUGGUCCUUAUCCCACUUUUUCCUUGCCCCUAUCCCAGCUUUUCCUCAUCGUUAUCCCACCUUUCCCUGCUCCUUUUCCUGCUUUUCCCGGUUCCUUUUCCCACUUUUCCCUGCUCCUUAUCCCGCCUUUCCUGCUCCUUAUCCCGCCUUUCCUGCUCCUUUUCCCGCCUUUCCCUGCUCCUUUUCCCACUUUUCCCGGCUCCUUUUCCCGCCUUUCCCGGCUCCUUUUCCCGCCUCUCCCUGCUCCUUUUCCCACUUUUCCCGGCUCCUUUUCCCGCCUCUCCCGGCUCCUUUUCCCACCUUUCCCUGCUCCUUAUCCUGCCUUUCCUGCUCCUUUUCCCGCCUCUCCCUGCUCCUUUUCCCACUUUUCCCAGGUCCUUUUCCCGCCUCUCCCGGCUCCUUUUCCCGCCUCUCCCGGCUCCUUAUCCCGCUUUUCCCGCAGCCAAGCCGCGGCUGGACGUGCAGAGCUGCCCGCCGCAGCAGAACUGGACGGAGGGGCAGGAGGGGACCCUGCUCUGCCGGGCCCGGGGCGCGCCCGAGCCGCGGGUGACGUGCCACAAGGCCGGGGACUCGCUCGAGGCCGGGGCCGCGCGCCGCGCCCACCGCGCCCACGCGGGCACCUACGUGUGCCGGGCCACCAACGAGCUGGGCACGGCCGAGAGCCGCGUCACCCUCUGGGUCCACUACGACGACUCGGUGCCGCUGCUCCCGGUGCUCCUGGGGGUCCUGGUGCCGGCGCUCGUCCUCCUGGGCCUGGCCGGUGCCGUCCUCUUCUACCGGCACCGCACCAAAAUCGGCGACUACUGGCUCUGGAAGCGGCAGCCGCCGCCGGACUCCCGGCCCCUGCGGCCGCCGCCCGGCUCCGGGGCCGCCGC